rnacentral:rRNA from 1 species
ACUUAAAUUGAAGAGUUUGAUCAUGGCUCAGAUUGAACGCUGGCGGCAGGCCUAACACAUGCAAGUCGAGCGGUAGCACAGAGAGCUUGCUCUCGGGUGACGAGCGGCGGACGGGUGAGUAAUGUCUGGGAAACUGCCUGAUGGAGGGGGAUAACUACUGGAAACGGUAGCUAAUACCGCAUAAUGUCGCAAGACCAAAGUGGGGGACCUUCGGGCCUCAUGCCAUCAGAUGUGCCCAGAUGGG